rnacentral:rRNA from 1 species
CUGUGAGCUCGAUGAGUAGGGCGGGACACGUGGUAUCCUGUCUGAAUAUGGGGGGACCAUCCUCCAAGGCUAAAUACUCCUGACUGACCGAUAGUGAACCAGUACCGUGAGGGAAAGGCGAAAAGAACCCCGGCGAGGGGAGUGAAAAAGAACCUGAAACCGUGUACGUACAAGCAGUGGGAGCACGCUUAGGCGUGUGACUGCGUACCUUUUGUAUAAUGGGUCAGCGACUUAUAUUCUGUAGCAAGGUUAACCGAAUAGGGGAGCCGAAGGGAAACCGAGUCUUAACUGGGCGUUAAGUUGCAGGGUAUAGACCCGAAACCCGGUGAUCUAGCCAUGGGCAGGUUGAAGGUUGGGUAACACUAACUGGAGGACCGAACCGACUAAUGUUGAAAAAUUAGCGGAUGACUUGUGGCUGGGGGUGAAAGGCCAAUCAAACCGGGAGAUAGCUGGUUCUCCCCGAAAGCUAUUUAGGUAGCGCCUCGUGAAUUCAUCUCCGGGGGUAGAGCACUGUUUCGGCAAGGGGGUCAUCCCGACUUACCAACCCGAUGCAAACU